GAUGAACGCUGGCGGCGUGCCUAAUACAUGCAAGUCGAGCGAACGGACGAGAAGCUUGCUUCUCUGAUGUUAGCGGCGGACGGGUGAGUAACACGUGGAUAACCUACCUAUAAGACUGGGAUAACUUCGGGAAACCGGAGCUAAUACCGGAUAAUAUUUUGAACCGCAUGGUUCCAAAGUGAAAGACGGACUUGCUGUCACUUAUAGAUGGAUCGGCGCUGCAUUAGCUAGUUGGUAAGGUAACGGCUUACCAAGGCAACGAUACAUAGCCGACCUGAGAGGGUGAUCGGCCACACUGGAACUGAGACACGGUCCAGACUCCUACGGGAGGCAGCAGUAGGGAAUCUUCCGCAAUGGGCGAAAGCCUGACGGAGCAACGCCGCGUGAGUGAUGAAGGUCUUCGGAUCGUAAAACUCUGUUAUUAGGGAAGAACAAAUGUGUAAGUAACUGUGCACGUCUUGACGGUACCUAAUCAGAAAGCCACGGCUAACUACGUG
rnacentral:rRNA from 1 species